UUCCAGACUCCUACGGGAGGCAGCAGUGGGGAAUAUUGCACAAUGGGGGAAACCCUGAUGCAGCGACGCCGCGUGAAGGAAGAAGUAUUUCGGUAUGUAAACUUCUAUCAGCAGGGAAGAAAAUGACGGUACCUGACUAAGAAGCCCCGGCUAACUACGUGCCAGCAGCCGCGGUAAUACGUAGGGGGCAAGCGUUAUCCGGAUUUACUGGGUGUAAAGGGAGCGUAGGCGGUUUAGCAAGUCUGAUGUGAAAGGCCGGGGCCCAACCCCGGGACUGCAUUGGAAACUGCGAGGCUGGAGUGUCGGAGAGGCAGGCGGAAUUCCUAGUGUAGCGGUGAAAUGCGUAGAUAUUAGGAGGAACACCAGUGGCGAAGGCGGCCUGCUGGACGAUGACUGACGCUGAGGCUCGAAAGCGUGGGGAGCAAACAGGAUUAGAUACCCGAGUAA
rnacentral:rRNA from 1 species